CCUACGGGUGGCAGCAGUGGGGAAUAUUGCGCAAUGGGCGAAAGCCUGACGCAGCGACGCCGCGUGAGGGAUGAAGGUCUUCGGAUCGUAAACCUCUGUCAGCAGGGAAGAACGGUCACUGUGCUAAUCAGCAGUGCAUUGACGGUACCUGCAAAGGAAGCACCGGCUAACUCCGUGCCAGCAGCCGCGGUAAUACGGAGGGUGCGAGCGUUAAUCGGAAUUACUGGGCGUAAAGCGCUCGUAGGCGGUAUGUUAAGUCAAGGGUGAAAUCCCCGCGCUCAACGUGGGAACUGCAUUUGAUACUGGCAAACUAGAGUGUGGUAGAGGAUAGUGGAAUUCCAGGUGUAGGAGUGAAAUCCGUAGAGAUCUGGAGGAACAUCAGUGGCGAAGGCGACUAACUGGCACAUAACUGACGCUGAGGAGCGAAAGCGUGGGUAGCAAACAGGAUUAGAUACCCGGGUAGUC
rnacentral:rRNA from 1 species